rnacentral:rRNA from 1 species
GCUUACGGCCAUACCACUCUGAGCACGCCCGAUCUCGUCGAAGCCAAGCACGGUCGGGCUGGUUAGUACUUGGACGGAGACCGCCUGGGAAUACCAGGUGCUGUAAGCU